rnacentral:rRNA from 1 species
UACGUAGGGUGCAAGCGUUAUCCGGAAUUAUUGGGCGUAAAGAGCUCGUAGGCGGUUUGUCACGUCUGCUGUGAAAACUGGAGGCUCAACCUCCAGCCUGCAGUGGGUACGGGCAGACUAGAGUACGGAAGAGGCGAGUGGAAUUCCUGGUGUAGCGGUGGAAUGCGCAGAUAUCAGGAGGAACACCAAUAGCGAAGGCAGCUCGCUGGGACGUUACUGACACUAAGGCGCGAAAGCGUGGGGAGCGAACAGG